rnacentral:rRNA from 1 species
AUGCAGUCGAGCGGACAGAAGGGAGCUUGCUCCCGGAUGUUAGCGGCGGACGGGUGAGUAACACGUGGGUAACCUGCCUGUAAGACUGGGAUAACUCCGGGAAACCGGAGCUAAUACCGGAUAGUUCCUUGAACCGCAUGGUUCAAGGAUGAAAGACGGUUUCGGCUGUCACUUACAGAUGGACCCGCGGCGCAUUAGCUAGUUGGUGAGGUAACGGCUCACCAAGGCGACGAUGCGUAGCCGACCUGAGAGGGUGAUCGGCCACACUGGGACUGAGACACGGCCCAGACUCCUACGGGAGGCAGCAGUAGGGAAUCUUCCGCAAUGGACGAAAGUCUGACGGAGCAACGCCGCGUGAGUGAUGAAGGUUUUCGGAUCGUAAAGCUCUGUUGUUAGGGAAGAACAAGUGCAAGAGUAACUGCUUGCACCUUGACGGUACCUAACCAGAAAGCCACGGCUAACUACGUGCCAGCAGCCGCGGUAAUACGUAGGUGGCAAGCGUUGUCCGGAAUUAUUGGGCGUAAAGGGCUCGCAGGCGGUUUCUUAAGUCUGAUGUGAAAGCCCCCGGCUCAACCGGGGAGGGUCAUUGGAAACUGGGAAACUUGAGUGCAGAAGAGGAGAGUGGAAUUCCACGUGUAGCGGUGAAAUGCGUAGAGAUGUGGAGGAACACCAGUGGCGAAGGCGACUCUCUGGUCUGUAACUGACGCUGAGGAGCGAAAGCGUGGGGAGCGAAACAGGAUUAGAUACCCUGGUAGUCCACGCCGUAAACGAUGAGU